rnacentral:rRNA from 1 species
UACGUAGGGCGCAAGCGUUAUCCGGAAUUAUUGGGCGUAAAGAGCUCGUAGGCGGUUUGGUAAGUCGGGUGUGAAAUCUCCACGCUCAACGUGGAGGGGCCACUCGAUACUGCCAUGACUCGAGUCCGGUAGAGGAGUGUGGAAUUCCCGGCGUAGCGGUGAAAUGCGCAGAUAUCGGGAGGAACACCCGUAGCGAAGGCGGCACUCUGGGCCGGAACUGACGCUGAGGCGCGAAAGCGUGGGGAGCAAACAGG